AAGAAGGAGCCCGUUGGAAUUCGGCUUUACUUAGUUUAGUAAAUAAAACGUUGAGAUCGGUAUUUGGAUUAGAAUUACUGGAAAUUCAAUCUGGGACUGGGCAAGUCAAAAUUUAUGGAGUUUUUAAUGUUUUACAGAAUAGGGGAAGUGUGAUUAAAUAUUCCGAAGAUGAAUUUGCUCAACUGGGCUUACUUUUUACGAUACUUUCGUUAAUCUUGUUAAAAAACAAUAAAGUUCCUGAAAAAGAGUUAUGGAGUUUACUGUCAAUUGUCGGCAUUGAAAAAGAUCUUGACCACGAAAAUUUUGGGAUUCCCAGAAAACUUCUCAAUCACUUUGAAAAGCAAAAGUACAUUUCCUCUUCUAAAAAUAAUUUAAACGAAAUCGAGUAUAGUUGGGGCGCCAGAUCACUUUACGAAAUCAGGAAUCCCCAAAAACUUAUUAUAAAAGCUGCAAAAAUUUAUGGGAUAGAUCCUCAUGAGUGGCUGAGACACUACAAGCAACGCAAAAUUUUUAAGGUCAAUCAAUGAUCGGACUAAUGCUAUA